rnacentral:misc_RNA from 1 species
CUUGGAUAUGAGGGUUUUGUCGGACUCCUUGUGAGGUCGACUCCCUUUAAAAGCAUUAGCAGAUUUUGCCAUCGUGGAUACGCUUCGAUUUGAUAAUAUCUAUGUCGUCGCGCUGAAGCGGUAAUCUGCUCAUAACCGUCCUAGGACAAAUUUUAUGACUAUUUGACCUCAAAUCAGGUAGGACCACCCGCUGAACUUAA